rnacentral:misc_RNA from 1 species
GCCCACGUGACCAGCACCAGGCUGCAGAGAUAAACAAGAAGACAAACAGACAAACUCAAAUCUCCAAAAAACAAAAAUCAAAAGCUAUGUAGAUUCAGUAAUACCAACCAACAAAUAUCGAAAAAAAUAUUGAUUCCAGUAGACACUCAAGGUUUCAGGAAGUCACUCAAACAAGAGUUGAGCAGAUAAAAGAUAUAAAUAAAUAGAUUCCUAAUAUCAUCCAAAACUAAAAUUUAACUAAACUCUGAAACCCCAAAUCCAAUGAACAUCUAAUUUCUCAGAUUGUCAAUUAAACAGCUGAAUUGAUGUCCUUAACAAGUAUCAAAUAUACCAGAUAUGAACAAAAUAGAUUCCUGUACGUACAGUUGAGCAUAAUACCAUCUUCUAACGACCCACAACUUUCAAUUGGAAAACAUGGCCAAGCUUAGAAAAGUUCCAAAAUUAAAGUGACCACGUCUGUAAUGAUCAAUGAAACUGAAGGAAUUUGGUACACCCAUGAGGGUCAACCCAAUUCCUUGUACACUUUGACUCUGGCCAAAGAAUUAAAAUGAUAAUAAUAAUAAAAGGAAAAAAAUUAUGUAACUACAAAAGGUAGUUAUGUUGCAUGUAGUUACAUGCAUAUGGAAGGACACAAUAGUAUAUGGAAGGACACAUACAUGGAAGGACACAAUGGUUCAAACAUGGAUAUAUAUGUGUGUGUGUAUGCAAAGCCAAGUUAUCUUGUGUGUGUGCAUUAGUGUAUCUUUGUUAACCAAAAACCAAAGUAAAGAUUAAGAGAGAAAAAGGUGUAAACAACUUAUGGUUUUUGUCUUGUUUGGUCUUCCUUGGAUAACUCUCUCUUCUACAAAUUAGUGGAGCAUCAAUAUUCUACAAACAAGGUAUGCAUUUAGACUGUGCUUAUAGGUUUACUUCAUGCUAAAUAUAUGUGAUUGAUUCUAAGACUAGAAAUACAAACAUAUGGAUCUUAGGGAAGUGAACCAUGUAUUUAAAUCUAUGUGCUGAUUAUAUGAUUUUCUUCAGAAACCAGUAAGAUCUCAUUUUCAUAACAAUUUUAGUCGACUUUAAAGUGCAAAUAAACUUAAACUACAAGUCUACAAAGUUUCACCUUCAUUCUGUGUGGUAAUUGUUUCUCGUUUGAUGAUAUGAUUUUCAUAUUGAUCUUUUAAAAACCAACAUUAAUA